UUUAAGGUCUGACCUGCCCAAUGAGUAUUAAAUGGCCGCGGUAAUUUGACCGUGCAAAGGUAGCAUAAUCAUUAGUUUUUUAAUUGAAAGCUGGAAUGAAUGGUCGGACGAGAAAAAUACUGUCUCAAUUUAAUUUAAAUAGAAUUUUAUUUUUAAGUAAGAAAGCUUAAAUUUAGUUAAAAGACGAGAAGACCCUAUAGAGUUUUAUAUUCAAUUAGCUAAAAUUUUUUUUGGAAUUUAUUAGUUGUAUUUAUUUGAAUAUUUUAUUGGGGCGAUAGAAAAAUUUAAUUAACUUUUUUUUUUAUUAACAUUUAUUUAUGAUUAAAUGAUCCAUUUUUUAUGAUUAUAAGAUUAAAUUACCUUAGGGAUAACAGCGUAAUUUUUUUUUAGAGUUCUAAUCGAAAAAAGAGUUUGCGACCUCGAUGUUGGAUUAAAAUUUGCUUUUGGUGCAGGAGUUAAAAGGCUAGGUCUGUUCGACCUUUAAAAUUUUACAUGAUCUGAGUUUAAACCGGCGUGAGCCAGGUUGGUUUCUAUCUUUAAUAAAGUGAUAUGUUUUAGUACGAAAGGAUUUUAUAUAUAUAAUAGUUAUUUAGGUUUGAAUUAUAUUA
rnacentral:rRNA from 1 species